rnacentral:lncRNA from 1 species
AUGACAUUUACCAUAUUUACAAUGUCUCCAUCAAGAAGCUUCAAGCAUUGCCACAGAUUUUGGAGAAGACAGAGACAAAGACAUCAAGGGGAAUCCAUCUGUGUGUUCACUUACAGGAACACAGCCUUGCAUAGAGGAGGAGACUUGAGAUUUAUUGUUGUUUCCUGGCUAAUUACUAUUUAAACGCUGAAACUCAUACUCCAGGUGUGGAGGGAUGCAACAACUACUCCACAUUUAUAGUGACUUUAGCUCUACAAUUUUAUCCAGAGAGCUUUCCUGAUGCUGGUACCUCAUUAUCCAGUAAGAUUAGAUCCUAAAGGGGAAAGGUGAGCUAGACAAAGGGCACUAUGAAUUUCCUGUUUGUUUUCUCAGUUUUGUUUGUUUUCUCCCCAAGUCUACAUACUAACUGUAAAGUCAGAUAAGGUUGAAAAACUCAGACAUAGAAAAAAUAUAGAAAUAAACAAAUAAAGAUAUACA